CCUUGUAACUGUUGUUCGUGUCCUUUCGUUGAUCUCAUUCAAAUCAGACCCAAGGUUUUAUUAAUAAAUGCAGAAUAUGGUUUUUAUUUUGAGAUUCAUGUGACGACAACUGCAAUAUACAACUUGACUUUUCUUUCACCUGUAAUGUCAUUUUGUUUGGUUUCUUUUCA